rnacentral:rRNA from 1 species
AAUGCGUAGAGAUCUGGAGGAAUACCGGUGGCGAAGGCGGCCCCCUGGACAAAGACUGACGCUCAGGUGCGAAAGCGUGGGGAGCAAACAGGAUUAGAUACCCUGGUAGUCCACGCCGUAAACGAUGUCUACUUGGAGGUUGUGCCCUUGAGGCGUGGCUUCCGGAGCUAACGCGUUAAGUAGACCGCCUGGGGAGUACGGCCGCAAGGUUAAAACUCAAAUGAAUUGACGGGGGCCCGCACAAGCGGUGGAGCAUGUGGUUUAAUUCGAUGCAACGCGAAGAACCUUACCUGGUCUUGACAUCCACAGAAGAAUCCAGAGAUG